rnacentral:rRNA from 1 species
GACAGAGGCCUCGAGCGUUAGGCGGAAUCACUGGGCUUAAAGCGUGUGUAGGCGGAUCGUUAAGUGCCUUGUGAAAUCCCACGGCUUAACUGUGGAACGGCUGGGCAUACUGGCGGUCUUGAGCCAUCGUAGGGGCGACUGGAACAAACGGUGGAGCGGUGAAAUGCGUAGAUAUCGUUUGGAACGCCAAUGGUGAAAACAGGUCGCUGGGGGAUGAGCUGACGCUGAGACACGAAAGCCCAGGGGAGCAAACGGG